AGUGUGGGGAAGGUUCUAGAAGGUGAAAGGAGGGUGCUUGCAGAGGAAAGCGAUGAUUUUGAUGAGGAUUUGGAUGAUGGGUUAGAUGAUGAUGAUGAAGAAGAAGAAGAAGAAGAAGGAAGUGAGGGUGAAGAGGAAAAGAAGGGGAAGGGAGGAGCAGAAGGAGGGAUAGAGGAUGAGUUUUUGAAGAUAAAUGAAUUGCAAGAGUAUCUAGAAGAGGAUGAGGCGAGGGAAUAUGGGUUGAAGAAGGAUAGUAAUGAUAGUAGAAAGAAAGGAGGACGAAGGGUUUUGGAUAAUGAAGAAGAUGAGGAUGAGGAUGAGGAAGAUGAAGAUGAGGAGGAGGUAUUUUGUUUUUAUUUUUGCUUGAAAGUAAAAUGUGAAGUUGAAUUGCUAAACUUAUAAUAUGGAUGCUUUGAUAUGAUGGAUUUGUCUUAAUAAUUUUAUUCAAGGAUUUGAGGCUGGAUUUGUUAUGUAAAUUGUUUCAUGAAUAUCAUUUGUAGACAUUGCAGUUGGCUUAGUAAUUAAUGGUUUAGAAAGUUAUCUUAUUCUUCC
rnacentral:lncRNA from 1 species